rnacentral:rRNA from 1 species
GACUAAAUUCAACGGCCGCGGGUAUCCUAACCGUGCGAAGGUAGCGUAAUCACUUGUUCUUUAAAUGAGGACUAGUAUGAAUGGCACCACGAGGGUUAUACUGUCUCCUUUUUCUAAUCAAUGAAACUGAUCUCCCCGUGAAGAAGCGGGGAUAAGACUACCAGACGAGAAGACCCUAUGGAGCUUCAAACAACAUAGCAAUGGCUUAUUUACCAAUAUAAUUUCAGAAUACCUACACUUAUCAUAGCCUUUUGACUAUUAGUUUUGGGUUGGGGUGACCACGGAGCAAAACCUAACCUCCAUGUUGGAUAGAUCUCCUCUUGAGCCAAAAGCCACAACUUUAAGCACCAAUAAACUGACAUAAAUUGACCCAAUAUUUUGAGCAACGAACCAAGUUACCCUAGGGAUAACAGCGCAAUCCACUUCAAGAGCCCCUAUCGACAAGUGGGUUUACGACCUCGAUGUUGGAUCAGGGUAUCCCAGUGGUGCAGCCGCUACUAAAGGUUCGUUUGUUCAACGAUUAAAACCCUACGUGAU